rnacentral:rRNA from 1 species
UACGGGGGGGGCAAGCGUUGUUCGGAAUUACUGGGCGUAAAGGGCUCGUAGGCGGCCAACUAAGUCAGACGUGAAAUCCCCAGGCUCAACCUGGGAACUGCGUCUGAUACUGGAUGGCUUGAAUCCGGGAGAGGGAUGCAGAAUUCCAGGUGUAGCGGUGAAAUGCGUAGAUAUCUGGAGGAAUACCGGUGGCGAAGGCGGCAUCCUGGACCGGCAUUGGCGCUGAGGAGCGAAAGCUAGGGGAGCAAACGGG